ACUGUUGAAGACCAUAUAAUCUAGUAGAAACUCUCUCUUGUGUACUGUUAGGUAUUUAAAUAAAAAUACAUAGUCUCAUCUAAGGACUUCUGAAAUUUUACUUUCAUCAGAUUCCUCCCCUGCCAUCAGAUGAUGACUGGUAAAUGUAGAGUCCUUUUUCCACAUAAUAAAGAACCGUGGAUUGGUGUCCUUUACAUGCUGCGAAAAGGCCUUGUAGAAGGUAUAUGAACAUGAAUUUCAAAUUGAAGUAUCAGUGAAAAUUUCAUUUUUUAAGGCAAGAAGCUGCUGGAGGUGAGCCAAUGUAGUAAUCCAGAAGAAUUCAACUGUUAUGCGAAAAAGGUAGACUAAACCAGAGGUAAGCACUGACAAUUGUUAGAAAAGGUGUCCAAGUUAGUUGUAUUUUCA
rnacentral:lncRNA from 1 species